GAAUCUUUUUACUUAAGGUGAUUUUCUAGGGCGAAAGUUCUUUAAGGGGGGAGAGUCGUAACACCCCAGUUUUGGAUUUAUUGAAAUUACUUGGUUUUAUGAUUUUUGUGUAUUUAUUUGAUUAUUAGGUAAUAUUAAUUAAAUAAAUAAGGGUGGUGGGAGUGUGUGACCUUGAGGUGAGAGUGUGGAGAGUAAUUAGAGGCUAGUAGAGUUUGAUUAAGUUAUUUGAGUUUAUUUUAAUGAUUAAAAUAAUAGUAUUUUAUUAUAUUUAUUUAAUUUAAUAGAAAAUAGAAAGUUUGGGGGCUAAAGUGUGAUUUAUG
rnacentral:lncRNA from 1 species